rnacentral:misc_RNA from 1 species
AACGCACCUUGCGCUCCUUGGUAUUCCGAGGAGCAUGCCUGUUUGAGUGUCUUGAAGUCAUCAACCCCUCCCGUUUCUGUGCGAGAGGAAGGUUGGAGCUGGGGGUUUGCGACCGCAAGGGCGCUCCCCUCAAAUGCUUCGGUUGGGCCCGUGGGUCGAACUCGGUUGGGCGUUGUACCAUCCUCGCUCGCGUCCGAGACGUUCCCCUUAGAAUCGAGCCCUUCCAAGGCCUCCUCUGGAGUGGUGGCCAAACUCAUCUAGAAUUCUGACCUCAAAUCAGGUAGGACUACCCGCUGAACUUAA